GAAAUAUUCCAUCAAAAUAAGCUUCUAACUUAGUUUUAAAGCGAUAAAUUUUUCGUUUAUAUUUCU
rnacentral:tRNA from 1 species